AGUUUGAUUAUGGCUCAGAUUGAACGCUGGCGGGAUGCUUUACACAUGCAAGUCGAAUGGCAGCACGGACUUCGGUCUGGUGGCGAGUGGCGAACGGGUGGUAAUGUAUCGGAACGUGCCUAGUAGCGAAGUAUACGCGAAAGCGUAUUAAUGCACCGCCCACUGGCGAAGAAAGCGGGGACACCAGGCCUCGCACCUAUUAGUGGUGUCGAUAUCGGGUGAUUGUCUGGUUGGCUGGAUAACUACCGGCUCAUAAAGGCGACGCCGUAAAAUAGUUGCGAAACGACUCAGCCUAUGGGACUGAGACGGCAGACUCUGGAGGAGGAAGGCGCGGUGGAACACGAAUAUUGAGAAACUCGAUCAGCAAAUGUCCGCGGUGUUUGAUGUUAGGCCUUCCGGGUUGUAAAAGCACUUUUGGCAAGGAAAGAAACGGCACGGGAUAAUACCCCGUUACAGCGGCGAAACCACCUGCAGAAUAAGCACCGGCUAACUACGUGCCAGCAGCCGCGGUAAUACGUAGGGUGCAAGCGUUAAUCGGAAUUACUGGGCGUAAAGCGUGCGCAGGCGGUUCGGAAGAAGAUGUGAAAUCCCAGAGCUUAACUUUGGAACUGCAUUUUUAACUACCGAGCUAGAGUGUGUCAGAGGAGGUGGAAUUCCGCGUGUAGCAGUGAAAUGCGUAGAUAUGCGGAGAACACCGAUGGCGAAGGCAACCUCCUGGGAUAACACUGACGCUCAUGCACGAAAGCGUGGGAGCAAACAGGAUUAGAUACCCUGUUAGUCCACUAAACGAUGUCAACUAGCUGUUGGGGCCUUCGGGCCUUGGUAGCGCAGCUAACGCGUGAAGUUGACCGCCUGGGAGUACGGUCGCAAGAUUAAAACUCAAAGGAAUUGACGAGGACCCACACAAGCGGUGGAUGAUGUGGAUUAAUUCGAUGCAACGCGAAAACCUUACCUACCCUUGACAUGUCUGGAAUCCGAAGAGAUUUGUUGGGAGUGCUCGCAAAGGGCCGGAACACAGGUGCAUAGCUGUCGUCAGCUCGUGUCGUGAGAUGUUGGGUUAAGUCCCGCAACGAGCGCAACCCCUUGUCCAUUAGUUGCUACGAAGGGCACUCUAAUGAGACUGCCGGUGACAAACCGGAGGAAGGUGGGGAUGACGCGUCAAGUCCUCAUGGCCUUAUGGGUAAGGGCUUCACACGUCAUACAAUGGUCGGGACGGGAUUCGCCAACCCGCGAGGAGCCAAUCCCGAAACCCGAUCGUAGUCCGGAUCGCAGUCUGCAACUCGACUGCGCGCGAAGUCGGAAUCGCUAGUAAUCGCGGAUCAGCAUGUCGCAGUGAAUACGUUCCCGGAGUCUUAUACACACCGCCCGUCACACCAUGGGAGUGGGUUUUACCAGAAGUAGUUAGCCUAACCGUAAGGAGGGCGAUUACCACGGUAGGAUUCGCCGUGGGUGAAGUCGUAACAAGGUAA
rnacentral:rRNA from 1 species